CUAAAAAAGUUAGCCGGGUGUGGUGGUGGGUGCCUGUAAUCCCAGCUACUCGGGAGGCUGAGGUAGGAGAAUUGCUUGAACCCAGGAGGCGGAGGUUGCACUGAGCUGAGAUCGCGCCACUGCACUCCAGCCUGGGUGACAGAGUAAGACUCUGUCUCAAAACAAAACAAACAACAAAAAAACCAAAAACAAAAAACAAAAACAACAACAAAAAUCCCCACAAGCUCUAGGAGUUUGGGAUAGAGAUACAACUGAAGUCUCUAAUACAGCUCCUACUCGUUUCUGUCGAC
rnacentral:lncRNA from 10 species